AUGCUUUGGAGGAAGCUCAAACUUUGUCCUGGGAGCUAUCUUUCUAAGUUACUACCAAUAAAAAUACUUUGGAGGAGGAUAAAGAAUCGUUCAAAGAGUUGGAGAAAAAAAUAUAAUACUCCCGUCAAUAAGGGUAUAAAGGAUGCUCUUGUCAUUUUCCAUGUUGUCAUCGACCAAGUCCAGUUGCUAUUCCUAGGGCUGCGAAUGGGGAGAUUGUCAAUGAUGAUGAGGAAGCAACUGAAAAUGGUCAAAAGGAUAAAGAAGAGGAAGAGGAAACUGGUGGGGAUACGUGAUAUUUCUAACUCUUUACUUGAGUAA